rnacentral:rRNA from 1 species
GACGAACGCUGGCGGCGUGCUUAACACAUGCAAGUCGAACGGAAAGGCCCUGCUUUUGUGGGGUGCUCGAGUGGGGAACGGGUGAGUAACACGUGAGUAUCCUGCCCUUGACUUUGGGAUAACUUCAGGAAACUGGGGCUAAUAUCGUAUAGGAGCUCCUGCUGCAUUGUGGGGGUUGGAAAGUUUCGGCGGUUGGGGAUGGACUCGCGGCUUAUCAGCUUGCUGGUGGGGUAGUGGCUUACCAAGCCUUUGACGGGUAGCCGGCCUGUGAGGGUGACCGGCCACAUUGGGACUGCGGUACGGCCCAGACUCCUACGGGAGGCAGCAGUGGGGAAUAUUGCACAGUGGGCGGAAGCCUGAUGCAGCAACGCCGCGUGCGGGAUGACGGCCUUCGGGUUGUAAACCGCUUUCGCCUGUGACGAAGCGUGAGUGACGGUAAUGGGUAAAGAAGCACCGGCUAACUACGUG